UUUUUCAGUUUAUGCAAGCUACUUAGGCAUUUUAAAGCUUCUUUACUCAGCAUUUAGACAUGAAUCUAAUGCUUCAAUGUAAGACAGCCACAAGACUAUAUGCAACAGCUUUCAAUUCGGUUUCAAUCCAUGUAUGCAAGCAGAUUCAAUCAAUCACAACAAGCAUCAUUAGGAACCGGAGAUAAGCAUAUUAACAUACCUAGUAAUCCUAGUAAUACUGUUAAAUUACUAGUCCUUUUAAAGCACUUACACAACUGCUAGUAAACUUAGUAUAACUAGUACGAUGAAAGGAUUACUAGGGAACCAAGCUCUUUAAGCAUCCUGGGACAGAUUCUAAAUUCAUUUUAUUUCAUUUAGUAAUCUUUUAAACAGUCCUCAGGUUUUCAAUCACAUCACAACCAGUCAA
rnacentral:lncRNA from 1 species